AAACAAAUCAUUAUCUUCAUCAUCUCUCUCUCUCUCUCUCGCUAUCUCUUCCCCUUGAAGAAAGGCGAGACUCUUGGGGGGGCAAACAGAUGAUAGAGAGAAGAGAGAGAAGCACACGAGUACCGACCUGAAGACGAUCAGGCAAAAGAGAAGCUUUGUUCUUUGAGGGGAAUGUUGUCUGGCUCGAGGACCCUUUUCCUUGAUCAAUAUUUUUCCUCUUAUACACAAACGAUCUGUAUCUAUAGAUCUGGUAGAAAUAUGUUCAGAGAUUAUAUUUGAUCGUAGUGAUAAGUGUUGUCGGACCAGGCUUCAUUCCCCCCCAAUUACUGCUUCCUCCACCUAUUCCCCUUUUCCAGAUUUCCGAUGGUGAUGAUGAUGAUCCGGUGCUGGAUCUGAAGAUUGGUGUAAUGAUGAAGAAUCUUGACUGCAUCUUUACUGGGAAAGUAUGUUCAUCAUUAUACACUUUUUGUGUUCUGAUCUGAUGAUUCUGCUUCAGUACAACAAUGAUGGUGUUUUUUGUGUCAGUGAAAUGAAAUCGCUUUUCUCGUUCAUCAUUAAUCGGAUUUUGCUCAUCAUGGUUUUCCAGAACCAAUUCCCUCUGCUCGUAGGGGCUACUGUUUACAGAUCUGGCCUUUUCUAACUUUAUUACUAGUAGGACUCUCUCCGCACACACACACACUCUCUUUCUCUUUCUUCCUAGGGUUUCUUGGGGGUAGAUCUGGGUUUGUAAUUUCAGUCAGAGCAAUAUAUUGUAAAUAGUAAAAUGCUAACAUGUGCAUUGAUAUUCAAAAAAUUAUAUUGGUAUGUGCGAGAGUAUAUUAAUAUCCAUAAGAUAUAUAUUGAUGUUAAACUUGUUUGUAAUUAUUAACUUAUUAUUUCCGCUUAGCGAGCGGAGAGAGAUUAGAUCAGUGGUUUCAUUUUCUUUUUCUUUUUCUUUUUUUUAAUUGGGAAUGUCUACUACCAAACAAAACAUAAUUCCCUCACAUAUACAAUUGAUAGUAUUGGUUUGCAUUGUUCAGAUUUCGUUCCCGUUUACCCAUUUUCACUUACUUUAAUUUUAAUCUUUUCAUCUCCUGCUUUUCCCAAUGCAUCAAGUUGUUCUCAAUUACGUAGAAUCUCAAGACAGCAGAAAUAUCUAUGAUGCAAGGCAUCCUUUUCGUACAUCAACUAGCUUGGCAUGUGCAAAGUAAUGUCUUUUACUCAUUUGAUCCUUUCUAUUGUUGCCAAUGCCAGAUAUGUUUUCUUCUAUAUUUCUUGACUAUGUUUUCUUUAAACUGUUAACUGUUGUGAAGAAGUUUUGCUAUCUUUUAUUCCUAGUGACACUGACAUUAUUAUGUGUGGCGUAUGUUGAUCUCUCAUCAGCCUAUGACGAUACCAAUGGACUCUACAGUCCACACACAGUAACAUCGCUAUAUACAAGCGGGCGCACAAACAAAGAGCAUUUGGUAAAGUGGAAAUGUGUGUGCGCACGCCGCUCAUAUAACAUGUCCAUAUUCUUCCACCGAGGUUCUUCCGAAUUUUUUUAGUGAAUAUCAUUAGCUGGUUAUCGCAUGCAGAAUUGCAGAUUGAGGUUCUCUGGUGGCUUUCUCAAUUGGUUAUGAGUCUUAUGACUAGGCGUUGCUAUGGAACUUGUUCGUAAUGGCAUGUUCUGGCUGAACUCAAAAACUCCUAAACUACAAGUAGUAAGCUGUAAGCCGCUUGCGCUACAUAUGGCUGCUGUUAUUUUUUGGUACUUCAGUUUGUUUUAAUGCAACUCUUCUUGUGCUAUAUUAUUACUAUUGGCUUAUAUUUCUCAUUUUGCAUUCUACUUACUGAUAAAUGCACUCUAAAACUUGUGUUCUAUAGCUUCAAAUUAUACUAAACAUGAUUACAAAGUACACUUUAAGAUAACUCUUAAAAUGCAUUGAUACGAAAUUAGAAUUCAAAAAUUAUUUUAGUGUACUUCAGGAUAGGGAAAAUGGGUUUGUCUUAGAGAGUGUCUGUACUCCUCAUCUGUUACUGUCUUUUACGUCACUUUUGCACAAGGGCUUAUUGUGGUGUUCCAAAAAGCUUCGAUAAUUGGUGUGGACUGAUGUAGCGGUUUAAAUAGUCUGUGUUGGGGAGGUGAUAUUUCAUGUAACGGGGAUAUAUCAUCUCCUCUCGCACCUCACUAAAUCGUGAGAGGAGGGGGAUAUACAACAUUACAAUCUCUAUAUGAAAUACUUUCACUCGA